rnacentral:lncRNA from 1 species
GGGCCGCACCAGUGGCAUAUGGAAGUUCCCAGGCUAGGGGUCCAAUUGGAGCUAGAGCUGCCAGCCUAUACCAUGGCGACAGCAACGCAGGAUCCAAGCCACGUCUUCGACCUACACCACAGCUCACGGCAACACUAGAUCCUUGACCCACUGAGCAAGGCCAGGGAUCGAACCUGCAACCUCAUGGUUCCUAGUCGGAUUUGUUUCUGCUGCGCCAUGAAACUCCUUAAUUUCUCUUCUGAUAGUUCAUUAUUAUUAUACAGAAACACAACAGAUUUUUGCAUGUUGACUUUAUAUCCUACAAUUUUACUGAAUUUGUUUAUUCUAAUUUUUUGGUGAAGUCUUUAAGGUUUUCUACAUAUAAUAUCGUGUCUUCUGCCAAACAGUGACAGAUUUACUUCUUCCUUUCUGAGUUAGAUGCCCUUUAUUUCUUUUUCAUGACUAACUGUUCUGGCCAGGACCUCCAAUACUAUGUUAAAUAAAAGUGAUAAGAGUGGGCAUCUUUGUCUUCUUCUUGAUCUUAAAGAAAGGCUUUUAGCUUUUCACCACUGAGUAGGAUGUUAGCUAUGGAUCUGUUAUAUAUGGCCUAUAUUAUGUUGGGGUACAUUCCCUUUAUAACGAUUUUGUUGAAAGUUUUUAGCAUAAAUGGAUGUUGAAUUUCGUCAAAUGCUUUUCCUGCAUCUAUUGAGAUGACCAUGUUAUUUUUAACCUUAAGUUUAUUAAUGUAUCAUAUUGAUUGAUUUGUGGAUGUUGAACCAUUCUUGCACCCUUGGAAUAAAUCCCACUUGUUCAUGGUGUCAUCAUCUUUCUAUAGGAAAAAAUGACUGAGCCUGCCACUUCCUUCAGGAAGUUAUGGGAAUCACAAUGCAAAAAUCUCCUUAGCAUUUCAUCUGCUUCCUAACCUACAAACGCAUCUAUGUGCAUAUUAUUCUUAUCUUUCAAAUUUUUUAUUCAUUUAUUGCAUAUCCCACUCUCACAGGCAGACAUUCCUCCUCUUAUUCAAAGUUUAUUUUUGUGCAUGUACUAAAAACCCUCCACGACCUCUGUGAAGCCCUCUAUCACUUAUCCUGUCUCUUGCUUAUAUAUUCAACUCAUCCAUUUUUAUUUACUCCUUCCUACAGUUUACAAACAUUUUUUAAAAAUCUCAUCAAUUCUGUAUUGUCUUCUAUCUCCAUGAAUCUUUCUCCUUCAAUUCAGAGUUUUAAAAAACAGCACCACACAUUCAUUGUCUCCACUUUCUGCCUCUCAUAGCUUGACUCCCUGAAAUCUAGCUUCCAACCCCUCCGCUCCAUCAAAAUUACUUUUGUUAAAAUUCGUUACGAUCUCCUAAGACCUUCUAGAUAAAAAACCUAAGUAAUCCUCUCGAGUAUAUUUGGGGUUAAUAGACACAAACUAUUGCCUGUGGAAUGGAUAAGCAAUGAGAUCCUGCUGUGCAGCACUGGGAACUAUGUCUAGUCACUUAUGAUGGAGCAGGAUAAUGUGAGAAAAAAGAAUGGAUACAUGUAUGUGUGACUGGGUCACCUUGCGGUACAGUAGAAAGUUGACAGAACACUGUAAACCAGCUAUAAUGGGAAAAAUCAUUAUAAAAAACAAAAAUGCUGCAAUCACACAAAAAAAUAUUCUCAAGUAUUUAUUUUUGUGGUUUUUGCAGCAUAUGGUCCUAUCCCAUUUAUUAUUCCCUCCAUGAAAUUUCCUUCACCACAGGUUUCCAUGACACUGCUCUGCUGUGUUUUCUGACCUCUGCAGUGCUCUUUCUCAGUCUUCCCAAGUCCAACCCCUUAAAUGUUGGUGUUCCCCAGGGUUCUGUCCCGGCUCUCCUUUCUCACUCUAAAUUCUCUCUCUGAAUGAUUUCAUCUGUAUAUUUCAUUCCUUCAACUGCAACCACAGAUCCUGGAAUCACAACAGUAAACGGCCCUCCUCCUAAGGGGCUUACGGUCUAGUGAGAGAAAACCAGCCAUUAAAUGAAUAAUCACAUAAGCAAUACCAUCGCCAAAGUGAUAAUGACCUUGAAGGAAAAGAAGGCGGCUCUUUGACACUGAAAGCAGGGGAGCUAAGCUAACCGACAGGCACAGUGAGAGUUUCUAGGAGAAAGUGACACGAAGCUGACCAAAAAGCAAGGUGAGAGAGAAAUAUUCCAAGUUCAGAAAACACCACGCAAGGUGGUCUGAGGUGGAGAAAUUUCCUUUGAAAGAUAGGAAACAACAUGUGGAAGGCUGCAGAAGUUAGAAAGGAUCCCGUUUGGAUAAGAGCCAGUUAUCCCAAAGCGGUGGAGGAGCUGAGUGCUGGAGGGAAGAUCAGAAUGGACUAUGCAGAGACCAGAAGGGGAAGGGCAUUUUCUGACUUACUGUGGAGUUUGUUUAUUUAUUUAUUGGAUUUUUUUGUGGUCACACCCACAGCCUACGGAACUUCCCAGGCCAGGCAAUGAAUUCAAGCCGAAGCUGUGACCUAUACUGCAGCUGCGGCAACACCAGAUCCUUUAACGCACUGCACCCGGUUGGGGAUUGAACCCACGUCUCCACAGCAACCCGAGCCACCGCAGUCAGAGUCUUAACCCACUGUGCCAUGGCAGUAACUCCACUAUGGAGUUUAAAAGGUAUGGUUAUUGUUGAUGAGGUAGGUGCCUUUGAAAGAUUUCGUCUGGUGGCAGCAAAAGGAAGUUUAUUUGAAGUUGAGGAACAAUAGUGUCAGCGAGAGAAGUUCUGAAAAGGAGCAGGGUCCCGUGGGGCUCCUGGACACAAGCCUUUCCGUGUUCCCCCCAGUUCUUGUUUUUUGGGAGUGGCCUUCAGCCUCCGUGACCUUCCCUGAGUUCCAAAAGACAGGUUCCAUGGUUGCUAAUCAGGGAAGGGACGGGACGCAGAGAUGGGGGCAGAGCAUGCGGUACAGGUGCAGCCCUAAAAGGGGAAGCAGUGGUGCAACCUUGGGGCAGGAUCCUGGUUCCUCUUCAGGGACGAUGCAUAGCAAUGUCUUUGAGUUCUUCUGCAGAACUGAAACCCCCUACAAAUGAAAACACACAGGAGGACCACCAGAUCCAGUCCAUGCUUCCUAGGCACCAACUUUGAAGAAGAAUGAACGCUUGCAUCUACCCUGAUCCUUAUCUGCAGCCCUAUUUUCCACUCCCAAACCAUAAAAUCACAUCCUAAUCUCUCCCAAGGGAGGGCAUGGUCUUUAGGGCAUUAGCCUUUGCCUGGCAAAGCAAUAAAGCUGUUUUUUCCUCCUUCGCCCCAAACUCUGUCUCCAUGCUUCUAUGUGGCACUGGUAGUCAGAGGCCAAGUUUCAGCAACAGUUUGAAAUAGCAGGGAUAAAAUGAGCAUCUGUAAAAUAGGAGCAGUGGAAAUGGAAAUGAGAGAAUAGAGUUAAGAAAUGUACAAAUGGAAGAGAUAACACAACGUGGGCAGAUUGGCUCUGCAGAUCAGGGAGAGGCAGAGGAUGCCAGAAAAAAUAAUCCCUACUGAGGGAGUUCCCGCGGUGGCUCAGUGGUAAUGAACCUGACUAGUAUCCAUGAGCAUGCAGGUUCGGUCCCUGGCCUCUCUCAGUGGGCUAAGGAUCCAGCAUUGCUGUGAGUUAUGGUGUGGGUCACAGACACAGCUCGGAUCUGGCAUUGCUGUGGCUGUGGUUAGGCUGGCAGCUGUAGCUCUGAUUGCAUGCCUAGCCUGGGAACUUCCAUAUGGUACAGGUGCAGCCCUAAAAAAGAAAAAAAAAAGAAUCCCUACUGACAUCGGGAGAAAGGUCAGGCCUGGACAAGGGGCCAGGGAUCUGAGCUCCAUAAACAUAACUGCCAACUCAAGCUCUCCACUGGGGUAACCCAGGUGUCUCCCUCCUAAACUUCCUCUCCUCCCGUCUCCUCCGUGACAGCAAUUAUACCAUCACCCUCCCAGGGCUCUGUUCAGUCAGUCCUUGACGCCUCCACCCUGCUCAGUACCCACGUCCAAACAAGGACUGACCCCACUGUCGCAGCAAUAUAUCUCCUAAAAGUCUCAAAUAGACCCUUCCCUCUGCUGCAGCUCCCAACACCCGGAAUCAAGUCAUCUUUAAGUCUCACCAAGACGGCUUCGUAGGUGGUAUUUCUGCAUAAACACCCACCCCCUCUGUAUCCGAUCCAGCUCCACACGUACUGAGGUUAUUACAUGAGCAAACAGCCACAAUCCCAGACUCACAUGAGCAAAGGUGGGUUAUCGAGUAGACACUUGUAAUGUGAAUGAGUCAGCAGUAUGACAGGAGAAAUGAACAACGUAAGCAAAUUGAUCCUCUGUCAGCAGAAGACAGCACAAAGAUGCGGCUCCUGGCUUAAUGGCAGCGCCUCUGGGUCAGUUCUUACAGGUGCAUGUAUGCUUUCGGCCAGUGAGGAUGAAAUAAAAGAACAGCAACAAAGUUUGUGCUUGAAGUGGGAGAACAGGGUGGUAUGAAAAACGUCAUUUCAGGGCACACAUGCUGGUCUUGGUGCCAGAGGUAAAGGCGUUGGCUCUUCUGCACUAUCUUUUAUAAGCCAGACACAGGCAAGCAUUUUUUUCAUUCUAAUAUUUUAGCAUUAAACUUUUCCAUUAAUGAUUUUUAGGGGCCUUUCCAUAUCUCCCUGGUGAUUUAUCAGCUGUAUUUUUCCCUUACUUCAUUUCGCAUUUUUUCCUACUGCUAUAUAUCUUAGUGAAUCCUUCCUUUUGCUUUUGGCAGACUAUUUUUUAAAGGCUAAUUUUUCUACCAUACUUUGUAUUUGUCUUCCAGUUUCUUCCCUCACUCCCUUUGGUUAUUCUCAGUCCAUUCUUUUUUUUUUUUUUUUUUUUUUUUUUUUUUUUUUUUUUUUUUUUUUUUGCUUUUUAGAGCCGCACCCACGUCAUAUGAACAUUCCAAGGCUAGGGGUCAAAUCGGAGCUGCCGACCUACACCACAGCCACAGCAAUGCAGGAUCCAAACUGAGUCUGCAAACUUACACCUCAACUCACUGCAAGGCUGGAUCCUUACCCACUGAGCAAGGCCAGGGAUCCAAGCCACCUUCUCAUGAAUACUAGUCGGAUUGGUUUCUGCUAUGCCACAAUGGGAACUCCUCUGUGUCCCUUCUUCUCCUAAUGUCAUCUUCACUUGGCUUCUCUUCGCCCACGAAACCAUGUGAGCUUGCUUCUAAGAUCUCCUUUCCUCUGCAAACAUUUGUUUCUUCCCUAUAACCCCCCAGGUGUGUCACUUAGAGCCCGUGGGCCUUGAAAAAAUAAAACACCCUAUCAGGGCAUCAGGAGAUAAAGUCCUCAGCGUCUCGGGGAGAGGCCACCCUCCUCCUGAUUGUUC